rnacentral:lncRNA from 1 species
ACUCUAAAUACAAAUGGCAUUCGUUGCAGAGGAGAAAGUGACUUUCAAGAGGAAGAAAUAGAGAAAACCAGGAAAAAUUCAGUGCAGUUUUUACUCCCUCAGUUCUCUCAGAUCUCAUUUAAAAUACUCCCACCAGCUGAAUGUGGACAGAACUGUGAAGAGCUUUCUGUAGAAAACUCACGGUUUGCAGAGACAAAGUCAGAGCGCCCUACCCUCAGAAACGGAAGCCAGGAGUGUAAAUGGAAAGUACACGGUACCGCCUGUCUGUGCAGAUCUUCUCUGGAAAGAACUCACCCUUGGCAAGGUGUCAGUUGAUGUACCCAGAAGAAAACAUUCAUUUUUCUCACCCUGCUCUUGGGGAAAGUGAUAUUACCUGCCUUUAGCACAAAUCUACUUUAACUGGAUGAUUUUGAUGAGCUCUGUACUAG